GCGCUGGUAGCUCAGCUGGAUAGAGCAUCUGGCUACGAACCAGAAGGUCGGGGGUUCGACUCCUCCCCAGCGCGCCA
rnacentral:tRNA from 7 species